rnacentral:rRNA from 1 species
AACGAACGCUGGCGGCGUGCUUAACACAUGCAAGUCGUACGAGAAAUCUUGAGCAAUCGGGAGAGUAAAGUGGCGCACGGGUGAGUAAUGCGUGGGUAACCUACCCUUCAAUUGGGGAUAACCCCGCGAAAGCGGGGCUAAUACCGAAUAAUGUUUCAGUCUUUUCGGGGAUUGAAAUGAAAGAUGGCCUCUGCAUGCAAGCUAUCGUUGAAGGAUGGGCCCGCGUACCAUUAGCUAGUUGGUAGGGUAAUAGCCUACCAAGGCAACGAUGGUUAGCUGGUCUGAGAGGAUGGCCAGCCACACUGGAACUGAGACACGGUCCAGACACCUACGGGUGGCAG